GAUGAACGCUAGCGGCGUGCUUUAUGCAUGCAAGUCGAACGGCCCUGAUUUAUCAGGGCAGUGGCAAACGGGUGAGUAACACGUAAGUAACCUGCCCUUAAGUGGGGGACAACUCCGGGAAACCGGGGCUAAUACCGCAUGUGGUGGUGGAGCUCAAGCUCUAUCACUAAAGCCUUCGGGCGCUUGAGGAUGGGCUUGCGGACGAUUAGCUUGUUGGUGAGGUAACGGCCCACCAAGGCUAUGAUCGAUAGCUGGUCUGAGAGGACGAUCAGCCACAUUGGGACUGAGACACGGCCCAGACUCCUNACGGGAGGCAGCAGCAAGGAAUUUUGGGCAAUGGGCGAAAGCCUGACCCAGCAACGUCGCGUGGGGGAUGAAGGCUCUCGGGUUGUAAACCCCUUUUCCCAGGGAAGAAUAAUGACGGUACCUGGGAAUAAGUCUCGCUAACU
rnacentral:rRNA from 1 species